GAUGAAGAACGCAGCGAAAUGCGAUGAGUAAUGUGAAUUGCAGAAUUCAGUGAAUCAUCGAAUCUUUGAACGCACAUUGCGCCCGCCAGUAUUCUGGCGGGCAUGCCUGUUCGAGCGUCAUUUCAACCAUCAAGCCCCCGGCUUGUGUUGGGGACCUGCGGCUGCCGCAGGCCCUGAAAACCAGUGGCGGGCUCGCUAGUCACUCCGAGCGUAGUAAUACAUCUCGCUCAGGGCGUGCUGCGGGUUCCGGCCGUUAAAAAGCCUUAUUUACCCAAGGUUGACCUCGGAUCAGGUAGGAAGACCCGCUGAACUUAAGCAUAUCAAUAAGCGGAGGA
rnacentral:misc_RNA from 1 species